UUUCAUUUGCAGCUCUCCCUCUGAACACCAGUCGCAGAUGGCUUUGCAACUCUGUUUCUCACCGAAGGAGGAUGGCAGGAGUGAUACAGGAAUUCAGAGAAUAAAGGAAAAUGCUCCGGAAUUCCCAGAUCACAAUUGCCAAGUGCAUAAUAUGGAAACUGCCACCAAGCCUAGUGCUUCCACCUCUUUCUACUCUCACUGGCUACCCGGUUCCUCCAGGAUGGAAGAGGGGAAGAAAGAGCUGAGGAGUCGGAAAGGUGUUGGAUGGCUCUGGCUACCAUGGCUACCUCUGGCCAUGGCAGAUGUUUCCAGCUGACGGUUUCUCUUAUGAGCCCUGUGGUGGGUUUGUUGGACAUCACUUACCACAGCCACCCUGCUGGGGAGCUUCUUACCACCCAUUCAUCCCCUUGGCAUGAGCAGGUUCAUUUUGCCUUUGCUUCGUUGCUUUAGAGUUUUACCCUGGACCCUGAACAUUUGGAGGCAAACCUCUGGCCUCUUGCUGCAGAGACCCCUGCCUUUCCAAGCAAUCCUCUUGGGUACAAUCAAGGCCAAUCCUGCCCUGAGUCACUCUCUUAGACUUGUCUUCUGUGAGAGUAAAUUACUUCCCUGACCACAGUCUCUACCUGAUAUUCAGGCCACUUUUGCUAACUCUGGUCCUUUAGGUUUCUCAGGCAUGAGCCAGGCACCAGUCCGUGGUACUCCCCAAACUGCAGGGGACAUCCACGGAGCUCUCCAAGAGGUCUUCCUGAAGUCUUUCUCACCAGACUUAAGGUGAGAGAAAAACCCCGUUCCCCUCCCUGUGGUAAGUGCAGAGAAAGGACCUCUUAGAAUGCCUAUGACAGGGUAAACGAGAAAUUCAGGAACACUCCUUUGGAAAUCCUACAUAGUAGUCCAGAACUUUGUUUGGAAUGUGAGUGUGGUUGACAACUAUUAUCUGAGCCCUCUCUCAAAAUGGGACUAAAAUAAAGGCUUCCAUUUAACAUCCUGUGACCAGAUGUAUUCUCAC
rnacentral:lncRNA from 1 species